AGUGAACGCUGGCGGUAGGCCUAACACAUGCAAGUCGAACGGCAGCACAGUAAGAGCUUGCUCUUACGGGUGGCGAGUGGCGGACGGGUGAGGAAUACAUCGGAAUCUACUUUUUCGUGGGGGAUAACGUAGGGAAACUUACGCUAAUACCGCAUACGACAUACGGGUGAAAGCAGGGGAUCUUCGGACCUUGCGCGAUUGAAUGAGCCGAUGUCGGAUUAGCUAGUUGGCGGGGUAAAGGCCCACCAAGGCGACGAUCCGUAGCUGGUCUGAGAGGAUGAUCAGCCACACUGGAACUGAUACACGGUCCAGACUCCUACGGGAGGCCGCAGUGGGGAAUAUUGGACAAUGGGCGCAAGCCUGAUCCAGCCAUACCGCGUGGGUGAAGAAGGCCUUCGGGUUGUAAAGCCCUUUUGUUGGGAAAGAAAAGCAGCAGGUUAAUACCCCGCUGUUCUGACGGUACCCAAAGAAUAAGCACCGGCUAACUUCGUG
rnacentral:rRNA from 1 species